rnacentral:rRNA from 1 species
UACAGAGGUCUCAAGCGUUGUUCGGAUUCAUUGGGCGUAAAGGGUGUGUAGGCGGCGCGGUAAGUCGGGUGUGAAAUCUCGGAGCUUAACUCCGAAACUGCAUUCGAUACUGCCGUGCUUGAGGACUGGAGAGGAGACUGGAAUUUACGGUGUAGCGGUGAAAUGCGUAGAUAUCGUAAGGAAGACCAGUGGCGAAGGCGGGUCUCUGGACAGUUCCUGACGCUGAGGCACGAAGGUCAGGGGGAGCAAACGGG